ACUCCUACGGGAGGCAGCAGUGGGGGAUAUUGCGCAAUGGGGGAAACCCUGACGCAGCAACGCCGCGUGAAGGAUGAAGGUCUUCGGAUUGUAAACUUCUUUUAUUAAGGACGAAGAAAGUGACGGUACU
rnacentral:rRNA from 1 species